GACGAACGCUGGCGGCGUGCUUAACACAUGCAAGUCGAGCGGUAAGGCCCUUUCGGGGGUACACGAGCGGCGAACGGGUGAGUAACACGUGGGUGACCUGCCUUUAGCUCUGGGAUAAGCCUGGGAAACUGGGUCUAAUACCGGAUAUGACUCCGCGGUGCAUGCUGUGGGGUGGAAAGCCUUGUGCGGCUGGAGAUGGGCCCGCGGCCUAUCAGCUUGUUGGUGGGGUGAUGGCCUACCAAGGCGACGACGGGUAGCCGGCCUGAGAGGGCGACCGGCCACACUGGGACUGAGACACGGCCCAGACUCCUACGGGAGGCAGCAGUGGGGAAUCUUGCGCAAUGGGCGAAAGCCUGACGCAGCGACG
rnacentral:rRNA from 1 species